UGCCAGCAGCCGCGGUAAUACGGAGGGUGCAAGCGUUGUUCGGAAUUAUUGGGCGUAAAGCGCGUGUAGGCGGUUUUAUAAGUCAGAUGUGAAAGCCCUGGGCUCAACCCAGGAAGUGCAUUUGAAACUGUAAGACUUGAGUAUCAGAGAGGAUAGUAGAAUUCCAGGUGUAGUGGUGAAAUACGUAGAUAUCUGGAGGAAUACCGGUGAGGAAGCUGGCUGUCUGGCUGAAUACUGACGCUGAGAUGCGAAAGCGUGGGGAGCAAACAGGAUUAGAUA
rnacentral:rRNA from 1 species